AACGAACGCUGGCGGCAUGCCUAAUACAUGCAAGUCGAACGAGCGCACCGGGUCCAGUGGCGCAUGGGUGUGUCACGCGAGGGAACAUGAACUCAUGUUUGGCAUAACUAUAAGACAGGGGUGAUAAUACCGGACAAUGUCUUCGGACCAAAGAUGUAUCGACUUGGUUUGGUCCCGCGUUGGAUUAGAUCGUAGGUAGGGUAAUGGCUACCAACGCGAGGCAUUAUAGCUGGUCUGAGAGGAUGAGCAGCCACACUGGGAAUGCGACGCAGACCAGACUCCUACGGGAGGCAGCAAUGGGGAAUAGUGGACCAUGGGCGGAAUCCUGAUCCAGCAAGGCCGCGUGAGUGAUGAAGGCCUGAGAGUUGUAAAGCGCUUUUAACCGUGAUGAUAAUGACAGUACCGAGAGAAUAAGCUCCGGCUAACUCCGUG
rnacentral:rRNA from 1 species